rnacentral:rRNA from 1 species
AUACGUAGGUGGCAAGCGUUAUCCGGAAUUAUUGGGCGUAAAGAGGGAGCAGGCGGCAGCAAGGGUCUGUGGUGAAAGCCUGAAGCUUAACUUCAGUAAGCGAUAGAAACCAGGCAGCUAGAGUGCAGGAGAGGAUAGUGGAAUUCCAUGUGUAGCGGUGAAAUGCGUAGAUAUAUGGAGGAACUCAAGUGGCAAAGGCUACGAUCUGGCCUGCAACUGACGCUCAGUCCCGAAAGCGUGGGGAGCAAAUAGGAUUAGAUACCCUAGUAGUCCACGCCGUAAACGAUGAGUACUAAGUGUUGGAUGUCAAAGUUCAGUGCUGCAGUUAACGCAAUAAGUACUCCGCCUGAGUAGUACGUUCGCAAGAAUGAAACUCAAAUGAAUUGGCGGGG